CUUUACGAAUUAGUUUUUUUUUACUUAGUUUCUAGGUGGCGUAAAUGCCUGGCGGUCACGGAUAAGUCCUGUUUUUAGAGAUUUUUUUAGUGCAUUAUCUCUUUCUUUCAUCAGCAUAAAUCAUCUGUCACCCUAGGAAGUAGGAUAAGGACUUUUGCUUCUUCUUGUUUCCUCUCAAAACCAAACAGGAAUGUGAAAAGCCUGGGAAGAAGAGCAGAGAGAGACAGACGAAGAACAACUAAGAUGGAAGAGAACAAUGACAACACAGCUGAUGGAGGCGAAGGAGAAUCUAAAACUAAAUGUUGUUCAUGUUGUUCAUGGUUUCCAUGCUGUGUAUUCUGCUGUACCCCAAGAUACUCUAAAAACAAAACUGAGGAAAGUAUAACCAUCACCAAG